UCGUAUCUCCACGACCGUAACUCCGAUUGAGGUGAAACCAACGCUCACUUCUUCGUAUCAUCAAGAUAUUUCUAUUGGUAACAUUUUAACUAGGUGGUACCAUAGUGAAAAUGACCAUUUUGCCCUUGCUUCUAAUCAGCCCCUCCGAGAGAAAAUCGUCCGACAUUUCGCUUUGCGGCUUCACCGCACUUCUUCCCGGAGUCUCUGUCGCCCCCAGGCAAGCCAGAACAGCCACUUGCAUGGUAGCCAUAAAGUAUCCAUGGUUUCUACUUUAAUAUUUAAUAAAAGUUUGCCUGUUAUCUGUCUGCUUGUUUGCUACUACUGUUGUUGUUUCGGUUAUGCUCGUGGUUUCAUGUUCACCUUCACGCUAUGUUCCGAUGCAUCUUGUUAUCUUGUACUACUUGCUAGUAUUAUUUUCUCAUGUUAUGCUUGGUAGUAGUAGCACAUGCUAGUAGCAGUGAUGUUCUUCCUGAUGCAUGCUUGUUUAUCAAAGUACCGUUGUUAUGCAUGUUCCUUUGCAUCUAGUUGGUCACAUGCUUACUUGGUAGUGUUCUUGCUAUUUUCUUGCACGGUAUUUAUUUAUGAUGCUAGUAGUCAUGCUAUGCUCAUGUGUAACAUUAUGCCUAUGCUCGUCGGUAUGCCAUGCUCACAUGGUUUAAUGCUUCAUUGUGGUUAUGCUCGAUGGUUAUGUUGCACCUCCAUGCUUAUGUUGAUACCAUGCUCAUGCAUUGUAGCUGCAUCAUGUUAUUUUAAUAUGGCUCAGCUCAUUGCAUUCAAAUUUAACUGAAUAAUAAUGAACUUGAACAACUGUUGGCUGAGUCAUGGUGCCACCAAAUCGAGCUGACCAGUGCAACCACAUUUGCCUUUUUUGGGAAGGCCCUAAUGUUGUCUAUUGUCAUGCCUCUCGCCGGUGCCUCCAAAGAGGGAAGGUUAUGGGCGCGCGCUACCCUGAUCAGGUAGGCGGACAUAAACCUUGUGUGCUCGUUGUUGUUGUUUUGAUACUGGGUCCCCAUUUGGGAUCGUUUAUGUUUGGCCACGAUGGUGGCGUUGGAUGUCACGGGUUGACAUCGGGGCCACCCAUGGCUUAGCCCAAAGGGGAGUUGGUCAGAGUGGCCAGGAGAGUGUCAUGGCAAUGGGUUGGUUUUGCCAGAACGCCGUUGGUCCACCCGAAUGGGAGUGCGAGGCCAUGGGUUCCGUGGUGUGGGUACAGUGUACUAAACUCUGCCGAAUGUGUGUUUAAAUCUAUCGAUAGCCGCGCCCGUGGAUAUGGGCCCAGUUCGUAGUCGGUCACACUAUGAGCCAACUAUAGUAAUAACUUGAUUAAUAAUAACCCCGGUUCGAUGAUGAGAAAGAGAUUGGUUGUGAUCGAGGGAGGAUCACGGAGGUAUCGUGGAUACCGAAGUUGGUUGAUCUUUAUGUGAUCGCAAGAUGAUCACAGAGGUAUCAUGGAUAACGAUGUGGGUGAGUGGAUGUAUGAGAUGGUUACGAGGUAACUGCCGAACAAGAGUAAGUUGGUGCAUGAUAUGGUUUACCUGUUGCAUGUAGUAUCAUCAUGAUUAUAUGCUGAGGUCAUGCUAAUGUUAUUUUAGCCGUAUCAUGUUUAGUUUUUGCAUGCCAUGUAUCAUGUUCAUGAUUGCUUUAACCUGCUAAUGCCAUGUUGUUGUUUGUCUUGACUGCUUUUGGUUUAUUGUGAGCUUGCAAGUACAUUCAAUGUACUGACCUGGCGUGUCAUGCCAGUUUGCAGGUCGUGCCUGGAUUGCUUGCUUGUUUGGUGUGGUUCUUGUGUUCGCGAGCUAGGAUAAACGUUCCAGCCAGAGUCCCUGCGGAUUGGAGUCCAUCAUUGUCGUUCGUUGUUCCGCUGCCAGUAGAGGUUCAGCUGCCUCGAGUUGUUAUGCUACUUGCAUAGAGCAACUGUGGUUGGCGUAGCGUCGUCAUGCCGAUGUUAUUCAUUGUAAUAUCGGAGACCUUGUAUUCGUAUUCGUAUUGUAAUAGAGAGCUGGUUUGUUCUAUGCUAAGUAGUGAUGUAUUCCAGAAGACUUCACCUUGAUCUCCAGGCUGGAAUACGGGGCAUUCCGGUUUCUCUGAGCCGGGUGCCACAGGGCUUGGUAUGAGAGCAGGUCUGGAUGUAGAGUGUCCUAGUCUGCAUGAACAUUAGAAAAAGGUAGUAUAGGGUCUGGUUGUUGCCCUUGCUUGUUGCAUUUAUUUGCUGCAUAUAGUCUUAUUCGGUUACCCCUAACCCCUGUUUCAUGCGUAGAUGGCGGUCAGCUUCCACGAGUUCAAUGCCAUCCCCAGAGCUCCCGGUGUUGUUCCUAUUGCGUUCAGUCCC
rnacentral:lncRNA from 1 species